ACUUGUACAUCUUCAUAUCCACAAGUUUGUACAUCAUCUUGAAGCUUCACCAGUCCUGCUCCUGUAACACACAAACAUGAUUGAAUGUAAGGAAAGUAACAUAUAUAUUACUAUGAUAUUCUCUACAGAUACUUGUCAGGGACACCUAUCAAUUCAUAUCAUAUCAUAUCAUCCAUCAAAUUAUUAAUAUGAUGAUGUAAGAAUUACACAAAAAAAAGGGUCCUGUAUGUCAUUAAAGCAUAGGACACUUUUUGAAGCAUUAAUUCCGUGUAUACUAAUAGUAAAUUACUUUGACGUAGCUUUCACUUUCAGGGCACCGCACGAUGAAAGUUGCACUGAAAAAGAUGUGGAUCCUACCUCUAUAUAUUGUUGAUGGCUGCAGGGCACUGAUCAAAGGAUACCACUUGUAUUUAUUUAUUUAUAUUUAUUUAAGGGGAAAAACUUAGGUGGCCGUAUAUGCUGCUGGCUGAAAAUAGGUUGUUAAUUAAAUUUCCGAAAGGUAUAAACAAUUUGUCAUGUAAUAUUAAUUAACCGAAAGCAAAU
rnacentral:lncRNA from 1 species